UACGUAGGGUGCAAGCGUUGUCCGGAAUUAUUGGGCGUAAAGAGCUCGUAGGCGGUCUGUCGCGUCUGCUGUGAAAACUCGGGGCUUAACCCCGGGCCUGCAGUGGGUACGGGCAGACUAGAGUGCGGUAGGGGAGACUGGAAUUCCUGGUGUAGCGGUGAAAUGCGCAGAUAUCAGGAGGAACACCGAUGGCGAAGGCAGGUCUCUGGGCCGAUACUGACGCUGAGGAGCGAAAGCGUGGGGAGCGAACAGG
rnacentral:rRNA from 1 species